CCUACGGGGGGCAGCAGUAGGGAAUAUUGCACAAUGGGGGAAACCCUGAUGCAGCAACGCCGCGUGAGUGAAGAAGUAAUUCGGUAUGUAAAGCUCUGUCAGCAGGGAAGAAAAUGACGGUACCUAAGUAAGAAGCACCUGCUAACUACGUGCCAGCAGCCGCGGUAAUACGUAGGGGGCGAGCGUUAGCCGGAUUUACUGGGUGUAAAGUGAGCGUAGACGGAUGUGCAAGUCUGGAGUGAAAGGCGUGGGCUCAACCCGCGGACUGCUCUGGAAACUGUACGGCUGGAGUGCAGGAGAGGUAAGUGGAAUUCCUAGUGUAGCGGUGAAAUGCGUAGAGAUAAGGAGGAACACCAGUGGCGAAGGCGGCUUACUGGACUGUAACUGACGUUGAUGCUCGAAAGCGUGGGGAGCAAACAGGAUUAGAUACCCCAGUAGUC
rnacentral:rRNA from 1 species